rnacentral:sRNA from 1 species
GAUCCUUAGCCAAAGGCCUAAUGAUGAUGAUGACAAAAAUGGUUUCACCCGCUGGCCCUUCAUGACCACCCACACAUGGGCUGAACUCUCCCAUGGAACAUGGACGCUGGACAUUGUCAUGGAGCCAAUUAUUGGUGUCCAGAGAAGGCCAGAGACUGGUGUCUUUAAAGAAUGGACACUUGUAUUGCAUGGAACAAAGACUGCCCCCUAUGCCAACCAGCCAGUAGAUAAAGACAAACAUGAGAAGCUAUAUUUAGUACGUAGGGCACACGAGAGUGGUGUUGUGGAGGAGUAGUCUCUUUCUGGUACUUCAUAAAUCUGUUGCAUUUCAACACUAGCUCCAUAGUGAGGGCAUUUGGUCUGAGAUCUUUCCAUCUUCUUGGGACAAAAGUCUUCUUUUAUUUAUUUCUUCUGGAGUGGACAAUGUAUCUACCAUGAAUAAAUCAAACUGCCAGAUGUAC